CCCUGCUGAAAUAAUCCUGCGUGAUGGGGCUGGUAACGACAUUCACAAAUCUUUAGCAGCUUAAUAACCUGCUCUGAGCCCUCUCUCCCUAGCUUCCGCUCUUAAGACGGGGAUCAAAGAGAGGUCAAACCCAAAAGAGAUCGCGUGGAUGCCCUGCCUGGGGUUGAAGCGUUAAAUCUAAUCAGGCUAGUUUGUUAGUGGCGUGUCUGUCCGCAGCUGGCAAGCGAAUGUAAAGACUGACUAAGCAUGUAGUGCCGAGGAUGUAGGAAUUUCGGACGCGGGUUCAACUCCCGC
rnacentral:tmRNA from 1 species